AGUGAACAAGGCUGGAGCCUUAGUGGUGCUGGUGGAUCAGGUGCACGCUAUGUACCAGGUAGUGUCCUUGGGAGAGUUGCUUCUUUGGACAGCCUCAGUGAUAACUGCUGAAAAUUUUAAACAAACCAGAGCUCUGGCAGGACCCUGCUAGACGCUUCGUCCAAACAUAUCAUCUUACAACUCAGAUAAAAGGAUCUGCUGGAUUUUCUUUUGGCUGAGAUAAGACAUUUGUAUUCAUUGAAACCAAUGUUAAUGUAUGAAGGGCAGCUACAUACAGGUGUAGAAGGAGAGUGAGGAAACGCAUCAGCAGUGGCCUGGAAACAUCACAUUGCUGUGACUCAGCAGAGGACCUUUUUCUGGAGAGGCACUCCACCUGAGCUUUUCACAGCAGCCAAUGUGUCACAUAACUUCUCUUACGAGUCUCCUGAAGUCCUGGGGGUCAGCCUGCAAAGUGAAAAAUGCAGAGAUCUAGGAAUGGCUCAGCCAGCUGAAAGUUACGGGAAGGGAAAGGCUCCAGUUUCACUGAAGGAAAAAAAAAAAAAAAAGAAGAAGAAGAAGAAUGGCUCCUUUCAAUGCAGACGGAGGCAGUCUGGCUGAGAGUCAGUGAGGUUUAAAAAUCCAAGAGGUCCAAUAACUGAAAAUCUGUAUAGAUUCAAAGUAAUAUUUUAAAUACCGCACAAGUGUAGAUAAAAUUUUUUUUUUAAAAGCGUGUGAUGGUUUUUCCAUCCUCCUGGUGCACAUAGCCAACCAUGUCCCAAAACCAGGCAGUAUUUCUUCUCCCUAAGACCCUGAGCACGUGUGUCUAAGACCUGUCCAUUUCGUCAAAGAAUGAGGGUGAAGAGCUCCUGUUGGAUUGACCCCUUUUGUCACUUUUCAGUGAGAUGGGGAUGAUGGCUUGUUGUUUCCAACCAAAAACCCACUAGAAAUUUCUACUGCUACUUUGCUGAAAUAGGAAUGUUGCUGUUAUUGUAAUGCUGAUGUUCAGCUAGCAGCCCAGCAGCAGUGCC
rnacentral:lncRNA from 1 species